AUCAACAAGACCCUACAAAAUUAAAAUAUUAAUAACGGAGUCCCCAAAAUAGAUCAUAUUUAUAUUAUUUUAGUUUGUUUUCUACAAGUGUUGUUCAGUUUCGCAAACAGGGCGAUAACUCGGUCUCCGUAUGUCAGAAUCGAGUACCGUCAGUUGUAAUACGUGUCUAAUACCUACGCGGUGCUGUGUGUGUGUUUGCGUGGCUUUCGGAGGGACGAUGCGGGUUUCGGGCUCUUUUUCGGCUUUUUGGCUAAGUGUUGUUCAGUUUCGCAAACUAGGCGAUAACUCGGUCUCCGUAUGUCGGAAUCGAGUACCGUCAGUUGUAACGCGUGCCUAAUACCUACGCGGUGCUGUGUGUGUGUUUGCGUGGCGUUCGGACGGACGAUGCGGGUUUCGGGCUCUUUUUCGGCUUUUUGGCUAAGUGUUGUUCAGUUUCGCAAACUAGGCGAUAACUCGGUCUCCGUAUGUCGGAAUCGAGUACCGUCAGUUGUAACGCGUGCCUAAUACCUACGCGGUGCUGUGUGUGUGUUUGCGUGGGGUUCUGUGUGUGUAUAAUGGUGUUAGGGUUUUAUCUUAUGUUUAUCUAAGCAAUACAAUUACAAAUUACAUAAAUUAAAUAAGGAAAUACAGAAUUUAAUUGUUUUUACCUGUCGAAUAUGUGGUGGGAAGAUGUUGGCCAAGACAACUGCACACACGCGGAUGGCCUCCUCCCGUACUACACCCAUGAGAUCGUCAACGGCAGCUGUAGGAUCGAUAGAGCCGUGGACAACCUCCUGAGCCAGCUGAUAUAUCCGCUCGCGUGAUGGUGCGCCUGACUGCACAACACCGCUCGACAUGCACCCCUCUAUGAUCCGCCGGAAGAAGUCAUCGGAUAAUGAAGGGCCGGCGCCCGAUCCACUCGCACCACUACCUCCAGUGGGUGGGCGUCGUCGAGAUCUCGCAGCAGGGACUAGGGUGUAAGCUGGGACAUGGGGAAUGCCCACAACUCUACCCUUCUUCGGUCCCCCUGUAGCCUGCAGCCAGUCCUCUAUCUCCUCGUCUGCACACGUAGACUCGUCUACUGGAGUGUCACCUCUCUGGCUGCUCCGGGCCACUGCAAGAUCUUCGAACCGUCGCUGACAAAAAACACAUUAGUGGAUGAUACGCAAAGUAUAAAAUGAAAUAAUAUAAAAGAAUAUCCGAAUUUUAAAUACAUAUUAAAUAAGAGCAUUAAAUAACUUACAGCAAUGCGUUCUGCCUCAGGUGAGAUAUAACCACCGUCACCUUUCUUUUGGUGGGCGUGCCACCAAAACUCCAAGCGGGAGGGUGCAUGCUUUAAACUCACCUCAAGUCUCUCCCGGUACAGGUCGUACGACUGAGACCCAGUGCAGUGUGGGAGACGACUCUG
rnacentral:lncRNA from 1 species